GACGAACGCUGGCGGCGUGCCUAACACAUGCAAGUCGAGCGAGGGACUUCGGUCCCUAGCGGCGGACGGGUGAGUAACACGUGGGUAACCUGCCUCAUAGAGGGGGAUAGCCUCCCGAAAGGGAGAUUAAUACCGCAUAACAUGUUUUGAUUGCAUGAUUGAAACAUUAAAGGAGUAAUCCGCUAUGAGAUGGACCCGCGGCGCAUUAGCGAGUUGGAGAGGUAACGGCUCACCAAGGCGACGAUGCGUAGCCGACCUGAGAGGGUGAUCGGCCGCAUUGGAACUGAGAUACGGGCCCGCCUCCUACGGGAGGCAGCAGGGGGGAAUAUUGCACAAUGGGGGAAACCCUGAUGCAGCAACGCCGCGUGAGUGAUGAAGGCCUUCGGGUUGUAAAGCUCUGUCUUUGGGGACGAUAAUGACGGUACCCAAGGAGGAAGCCACGGCUAACUACGUGCCAGCCGCCGCCGUAAAAC
rnacentral:rRNA from 1 species